rnacentral:rRNA from 1 species
AUUGAACGCUGGCGGCAGGCCUAACACAUGCAAGUCGAGCGGAUGAAGGGAGCUUGCUCCUGGAUUCAGCGGCGGACGGGUGAGUAAUGCCUAGGAAUCUGCCUGGUAGUGGGGGAUAACGUCCGGAAACGGGCGCUAAUACCGCAUACGUCCUGAGGGAGAAAGUGGGGGAUCUUCGGACCUCACGCUAUCAGAUGAGCCUAGGUCGGAUUAGCUAGUUGGUGGGGUAAAGGCCUACCAAGGCGACGAUCCGUAACUGGUCUGAGAGGAGGAUCAGUCACACUGGAACUGAGACACGGUCCAGACUCCUCCGGGAGGCAGCAGUGGGGAAUAUUGGACAAUGGGCGAAAGCCUGAUCCAGCCAUGCCGCGUGUGUGAAGAAGGUCUUCGGAUUGUAAAGCACUUUAAGUUGGGAGGAAGGGCAGUAAGUUAAUACCUUGCUGUUUUGACGUUACCAACAGAAUAAGCACCGGCUAACUUCGUG